AUUAUGAAGUUCAUAUACUCCUUGUAUUAUCGAUUAACGAGACAUUUGCAAUCUCCCUCAUUCUUCUUACUCAUGCGCGUCACCUAGGGCACCUUCUUUCUCCUUUUGUUUGAUGUGCUGCUGCUGCUGCUGCCUGCUGGUUCCACCGCCAAACCAACCCCACCACCUUCGCUGCUGCUCCUCCACUCGCCCUACACCACCUUAUUCCUCCACCUCUUCCUAGGUUUGGUUGAAAUGAAUCGUGCAUGGAUGUAUGGUAGUCGUGAAACGUCUGAAUUCGUGGAUGGAGUCUUUGAAUUUUGCAAUGCUGCAUUAGCUUAUCGGGCUGCUACUGGAACCGAUGAGUUUUAUUGUCCUUGUGUCGAUUGUACUAAUGUGAGCAAGGUUACUAGCAUAGAGUCGCUUAGGGAGCAUAUCUUUCGUCGUGGGUUUAGGCCCAACUACCACGUAUGGGUUUGGCAUGGUGAAGAAGGGGUAUAUGAUGGUGGAAAUGCCAGUAUUAACGUUGUGCAUGAAAGAGGUAAGUUUGAUGUCAUUGAGAAAGACAAUAACGUCGAGAACGUAUAUGAGGAUACUGAAGAAGGGGAUGAUAAUUAUGAAAGGGACCAUAUCAAGGAGAUGAUGGAUGAGGUGGAUGAUCCUUCUAGCAAACAAACUCGUAUUUUUGAGUGCAUGAUUGAGGCAUCUCAAAAACCGUUGUAUCCCGGUUGUACAAAGUACACUAAGUUGUCGGCCGUGAUAACACUGUUUAAUAUCAAGACAAAAUCCGGCAUAAGUGACUCUACUUUCACUUCCUUAUUGCAAGCAUUUGGUGAUAUGUUGCCGGACGAUCAUGAACUACCUAAAUCGAACGACCAUGCCAAAGAAUUGAUGUGUCCCUUUGGUUUAGAGUACCAGAAGAUACAUGCUUGUCCAAAUGAUUGUGUGCUAUAUCGAAAUGAAUAUGAAAAUCUGGAUGAGUGUCCUCGAUGUGGGAAGUCGCGUUACAGGUGCGAAGGGGUUCGUGAUAAGAAAGGGCCUCCAACAAAGGUGUUGUGGUAUCUUCCGAUUAUACCAAGAUUCAAGUGCAUGUUUUCAAUGAAAAAAGAUGCUAAGAACUUGAGGUGGCAUGCAGACCGUAGAAAAAAAGACGGUUUUCUCAAACAUCCGGCUGAUUCUUCUCAGUGGAAAGCUAUCCAUUUCGUGCAUAAGACAUUUGGUGCCGAUGAGAGAAAUCUGAGACUCGGUCUAUGCAUGGAUGGGAUGAAGCCAUGUGACACUCUUAGUUCUCAACAUAGUAUGUGGCCUGUAUUUCUAGUUGUUUAUAACUUGCCUCCUUGGUUGUGCAUGAAACGCAAGUAUAUUAUGUUGUCGCUUCUUAUUUCGGGGCCGAAACAACCUGGAAACAACAUUGAUGUAUACUUGCAACCACUUAUUGAUGAUUUGAAGAAAAUGUGGUAUGAAGGAGUUUCUGUGUAUGACGCACAUGCUGAUGAGAUAUUCACAUUGCGUGCCAUGCUUUUGUACACUCUUAGUGAUUUUCCUACUUAUGGCAACUUAUCCGGGUAUAAGAACGAAGGGAAAAAUGCAUGUCCGAUUUGUCUCGAUGACAUGGAAUCUAAAUACCUUCCUACUUGUCACAAACAUGUUUAUAUGCGGACCCGGAGGCUCCUUCGACGCGACCAUCCUUAUCGUAAUAAUAAGAAGGCAUUCGAUGGGCAAGUUGAGGAAGGGGUUGCUCGUCGACCAUUGACUGCUAUUGAGGUGUAUGAUCGAGUUAAGAGGAGUGAUAGGGCUGAAGGAGUUUGGGAAAAAGAGUCUAUCUUUUGGAGUCUUCCAUAUUGGAAAACUUUACAGGUUAGACAUUGUCUCGACGUAAUGCACAUAGAGAAAAAUAUUUGUGAAGCCAUUCUCGGGACACUAAUGAAUAUUUCAGGGAAAACUACGGAUAGCAAAGGGGUUCGACUGUACUUGGAAAGUCAAGGGCUUCGACCAGAAUUAUGGGCUCAAAAGAGGAACACUAAGAAAAGAAAGACAACAGAGAAAGGGUCUGACAAAGGAAAAAGAAAUGGAAAGGUAAAAGAAAAGGAAAAGGAAGAGGAAGAAGGGUUGUUUAAAGGAAUUCAAGGAAAAGGAAAGGAAAAGGUGAAUGAUGAAGAUAAGAACUAUUUGCCUCCGGCUUGCUACACUCUAUCUAGAGCUGAGAAACGACUUUUUUGCGAGUCUUUAUACGGCAUUAAGGUUCCAUCGGGGUACCCAUCGAACAUGAAAAGGUUUGUUACCUUAGACGGUGAGUUGAAGUUGUCGAGUAUGGAUUCUCAAGAUUGUCAUGAAAUGAUGCAAAUAUUCUUACCGAUUGCAAUUCGAGGGAUAUUGCCGAAACAUGUGAGACAUACCAUAACAGAGUUGUGUUCGUUUUUUAAUACUAUAUGUAGCAAAGUGUUACAUCCGUCACAGCUCGACGUUCUCCAGGUUCGUGUGGUAGAGACUUUGUGCAAGUUUGAAGUGUAUUUUCCUCCUACCUUCUUUGACAUUAUGGUCCAUUUGAUUGUACAUCUAGUUCGAGAAAUUAAACUAUGUGGUCCGGUGUUUUUGAGAUGGUGCCAUCCUUUUCAGAGAUAUAUGAGCUCUUUGGAAGAUAAAGUAAGGAAUCCGACGCAACAAGAAGAAGAUAUAAUUCAGGGGAUUGUGAGUGAAGAGGUUGAUAAUUUUGUGGCUGAAGCUAAUGUUGAUCAUAUUGGACUUCAUAUUUCUCGAAACGAAGGCAGACUUGAAGGCAAGGGUACGAUUGGCUUCAAAAUGAUCUCACCUCCCGUUAAAAAGCUCAUAGAGGCACACUUAUUUGUAUUGCAUCAUAUGGUCCAGGUCCAUCCUUACUUGGAUGAGCAUAUGAUGGAGUUGCAUGACCAAAAUCCAGGUAAAGGGACUAGGAUAUUGAUGCAGUUGCAUAAUAAGACUUUUAUUGACUGGUUCAAAAACCGAGUAAUACGUGAAAUGAAUUCUACUGAUUCUGAAACUCUGAAGUGGCUAGCAUCUGGUCCUCGAGAAGUUGUGCAUUCCUAUGAGGGUUAUGAUGUCAACGGAUAUACAUUUUGGACAGAUGAACAAAGUCAAAAGUCCUUGUCUGUAGAGAAUAGUGGUGUUUCAAUAGAGGCGUCAUCUUCACACUAUGCAAGUGCUAAAGACAAGUCUCCUAUUGAUGCUAAAUUGUUAUACUAUGGGCGAGUUCAAGAUAUAUGGGAGCUUGACUACUCUGGUUUUACGGUCUGUUUAUUUCAAUGCAAGUGGGUUGAUAAUAACGAGCGCUACAUAAGAAAAGAUGGCCCCUGUGGAUUUACUCUUGUAGACUUGGGUCAAUUGCGUGAUAGUAAGGAGUCAUUCGUGCUUGCAUCACAAGUGAAACAAGUAUUCUACGUAACUGAUCCUGCUGAUAAAAAGUGGUCAAUUGUUGUCCCGGGAAAAAGAAGUAUACUUGGAGUUGGUGAUGUUGAGGAUGAGGAGGAGUAUGAUGCGUUUAAAGACACCUCGCCUUUCACCAUUCCCAACUUCCAUCUCACUGAUGUUGUGGAGUUAGAGACAAGGUGUAUGCGUGCUGAUCAUGGGGAAGGUAUAAUGGUUGAAACAUCAAAGGAGGCUUGCAAAAGUCAACAAUAAGCUGGACUUGUGAGAGCUGUUUCUGAUGGAAUGUCUGGUGUGUUUGUCCAGUCUCGCCCGCUUGGUGUGAUGAAAAUGGACGAAGCUUAUAUUAUGCAGAUCCUUCUGGUACAUUUUGGCAGUGCAGGCAAAGGCUAUUGGUUCUGGUUCUGAACGUGCAGAUAGCUCUUUGCAGGAGCAAUUCAAAAAGAUACAUCCUCUUCUGUAGGGAAGAUAGAACUUGGUAACAUAGUAUUAGACUUUCACAUGUUAUGAUACUAUUUCCCACAAUUAACGGGAAAACGUGAAUGUAAUAUCAACAAAAAAUGUAAUAGUACAAGUCAGCAAUAUCUUCGAUAUUAAUAUGGUCACUUAAAAGGGUCUGAAGCAUGUGCCUGAAGCAAAGCAAAAGAGUCAAUCUCACAAGGGAACCAUGAUAUAUAGCGCAUAAUUUGCAUGUAUUUCACAUCACAACAAUUUGGCAACUUGUGAACAAGGAAGCAUUUUCCAAUUUUCAUA